ACAAGAAUGGGGAACAGUCUUCGCACAAAGCGGAGGUGUGAUGGAGCGACCUCUGGAGCGGAACUGAUAGUAUUUUUUAACAAAUUCAAGUCAAUCGUAAUAUUCCUUAUAAAUUUGACGUAAUUUCAUUUACAGGCGCUUGCAAGGCAAACCAAACUUCUCUUUCUCGUACCCAUGUACGACUUGGAAUUAAUGCCUUAUUCCGAAGAAGCUAGAGCGCUUGAACAGCAUGACACAUGCCAAAUAUGCCACCAAAAGAUACCCGUGUCAGAAAUAAUUUCUCACGUUGCAAGUCACAGAAAUCCUCCAUCACGUGUGACAGCAACACAAGACAGCAACAGUGAAGAUGAGAUUGAUGACUAGAACCAAACCCACGAGAGAAGGUAAAGAAGAAAAUAAAGAAAACAUAAACAAAGAAACAAGAUACACGCAAAGGUUCACACCAUGGGGAAAAAUAAAAAUACAGGUGAAACCAAAAUGCUUUCUUUUUGGAUCACGGAUGAAAUGUAUUAGUGUUUUUCACACAUUUAUUGGGUAACAUGUUAUGAUACUGUUUUGUAAAGUGUUGGCAAUACUACUUCUGAAAUACAAAUAAACCAGAAAAUGUGAAAAA